rnacentral:rRNA from 1 species
AACCGCGGUUAUACGAGAGGCCCAAAUUGACAAAUCACGGCGUAAAGUGUGAUUAGAGACACCCCUAAAAUAGAACCAAACACCCCCUAUGCUGUCAUACGCCAUGGGGGACACGAAGACCAGCAGCGAAAGUGGUUCUAUUGGCCUUGAACUCACGACAGCUAAGACA